GCUCUGGUGGCUCAAUCGGAUAGAGCGUUGGACUUCUAAUCCAAAGGUUGCGGGUUUAAGUCCCGCUCAGAGUA
rfam:Perkinsus marinus ATCC 50983 gcontig_1104296098149, whole genome shotgun sequence.